CUUAAUAGCGGAGUGAGGAAGGAUCAUUAC
rnacentral:rRNA from 1 species